UAAAUAUAUUCGAUUUUAAGAAAAUUUUUAUUUUUAUUAAUAUUUUCAAUAGAUAUAAACACGUUGUCCCAUAAAAUAUACCAAUUAAUAUUUUCUUCAGAUUUCACUUUUUAUAAAUGAUAUGCACUUUUUAUUAAUUCUUUUUCUGAAUUAAAUAUCAAUGAAAUUAUAAAAUUAAUUGAAACUAAAUCAUACAGGUUAUUAAUUCAUCGAAACCUACCAUGUUUAAUAUUUAAUAUUUCUAUUGACAUAUCGAUAUUGUAUGAUCACCAAAAAUAUCCCUUUGCAUAAAUGUAAAAUUCCCCAGGCGGAACUAGAAUGAAGUCAUGCACAGAUCGACAUAACGGCGUCGUUUCUAUGACACCUUGAUCUUUUCUGCGCUAGUGCCAAGUGGAGCGUCUAUAUUUACCGACACACGCGAGCACGCGCGCGCCCUAGCAAGUUUCUGCACGCUACUGGAUAAUGUUGGUGGAUUAAAUAAACCGUCGGAUUAAAUAGCAUCGCUGCAUUUCGCUCUUUCGUGGCACGAGGACUGUCCGGCAAAUAGGUCGACCACGGGCAUUCAAUCUUGGAAGAACGAACGGAUAGAAGUGGUACCGUAUCGUCGACCAUUUUUCUUUCGGUCAACGGACACCCAUUUUAUAUUUAGAACGAGUAUGGUCGCGACGGUAACUUUUCGUUAUACCGGUUGUUUUGUCUGAAAUUCGCGUGACGCAAGCGCAUUAUUCGCGCGUGUUUCUACCAUUCCUGCAUCGACUGAGCGAUAACUCGAUAAUAUUUCGUUGCGACUUCGUUGCCACUGGGAUAUUACUGAAAAAUUGAUCGAUAAAAAGAGAAAUUUACGGGUACCAUUAUUUUUUUUUUUUUCAAUUAUUGUCUUCGUUAUCUUGAUACAUUACUUUUAAUUCGAAAAUUGUGUUAAUACAGUGCACUUAAAUGCACGACAUUUCUUUAUAUUGCGAUGAAAAACACUGUUUCCAUGUAACGUGUUAAAUUAGACAUGUUUUUCUCUUAAACAUAAUGUUUAUCAAUAUGGAAAAUUAAUGCCAUUACUGAUGAUUUAUUGCCAUGUCUGGAUCAAAAAUAUAUGAUCUGUAAUCCAUUGCAGGCAAAUAUCUACACAAAUAGAAUUUCGACCAGCAAAAGGAUGUGAUGUAGUAAGAGAGGUUAUAGCUAUGGAUUGUUCACCCCAUAAUUCUGACCGCUAUAGAGCUUAUGGUGGUUGUUGCGACGUCGGAAAUGGCGUCGAGCAGACAUCUAAGGGAAUCAGAGUUGUUAUUGGAAACGUUGUCACGGGGAUGCUGUCCCUCGUGUGAUCAAAAUUCUAUUUGAGAUGUUUCUGGGGAUGUCUCCGAGGUCAUCACGAGUCUCGUCAAUUUUGCUUUGCCAUUACUUUGAUGUCACGGUUGUUAGAAAUUUGCAUUAAACUAGUUAAUUAUUAAAUUAAACUUAGCUAAUUAAAUUCGCAUCAUAUUUGAUGUAUACAUGAUACUAACGAACAAAAUAGGUUCUUCUAACAUCAAGAUAUAAGAUAUCAUGUUCUGUUUUAGACAUAACUUUAUAUAAUUUCCAUUUUUAAAUAAGAAAUUAAUUAUCGUGAAAAUAACUCUCAUAUUUGCAACAUUUCAAUAACUUUAUCUAAUUUAAUUUAAUAAUAACCCAAUAGCCAAAUAAAUUUUAAAUAUAACGCAUAACUUUUGAACAAUAAUAAUUGGAUGAAAACUCGUAAUUUCGAGAAUCUCUUUCACAAGAAAAAUUCGGGAAAGUAAAUUAAUUGUCGUGGAAGAAUACAACGGUUCGAUGAAAGGCAGUGAGAAGGUGGGACGAGAGAGUGGAAAAGGAAGAAGGGAAGAAUAGAAAUUGAUCGAGGCAGCUCGAACAGACCUGCAAACAGACUUCCAUAGUCAUUUGUAUCGUUGCUCGACCUGUUGCUGUUCAAACGACCGAACUGUUGAUUUUUCUUUUUCUAGGAUGCUCCGCACACUUCCAUCCUCCGCACUCCUCGCUUGAGGGCUUUUUUAUUACAAGCUGGAUUGUAAAAAAAACCACGGAGCCACGGUUGCGGCCAAUCGUAAUAAAUAUUUUACGUUCUCGCAAUCGUUUUACUGCAUUGGGAUAUCCUGAACGCGGUAAACCACCCGCGGGAUUUCGGCCUUAUUCCUUUUGCCCUGCAAUCGGGCAUCCCUUUCGAAGAAUGAGCGAUAUCGAGAAUCUUUUAUGUUAUCUCGUACUCUCGCUCAAAUAGAUAUCUUCGAGGAACUUUCUGAUCGUCCAAAAAAAAAAAAAAAAAAUUGCAAGACGUCACUCGAUUUGCUAACAUUUAAAUUUAGAAUUCAGGUUUUCGUGGCCGUAAAUAAAUAAAGAUUCGGUAUUUUUUUAUACCGGUCUUCAUAAAUCUCGUAAAUUGUCGAAGCAUUUAUGUCGCCAUUUCUGCGUCAUCUUGCAGGUAAAAAUAAACCAUCGAACGCUAAGAUCGUGAAAAAUUUAACCUUCCUUUAUUCUCGAGACGCCGAUCGUUCAAGAUAGAAUGUUGCAACCGAUCUCUGGUAUCGUUGCAAAUUACGUGAUACAAGUUUCAAUGGAUUUAGGAAUUCAAUCGUUACACCAGAUCAAUAAAUGUACCUGUAUGUGUUAAUAACACGAACAUUUCAUUAAAUUGUAACUAUACAAAGAAUAUAUUAAAAAUGUGUAAAAUUUCAUGAUAGAAAGGACUGAUUCAAUAAUAUGAUUAUUGCUUCAUGAAUAA